rnacentral:rRNA from 1 species
CCGCCCGUCACACCAUGAAAGUCGGCUGUACCAGAAGUCGCUGCGCUAGCCGCAAGGGGGCAGGCGCCCAAGGUAUGGUCGAUGAUUGGGGUG